UGGAGCAGCCCGGUAGCUCGUCAGGCUCAUAACCUGAAGGUCGUAGGUUCAAAUCCUACCCCCGCAACCA
rnacentral:tRNA from 1 species